rnacentral:rRNA from 1 species
AACGAACGCUGGCGGCAUGCCUAACACAUGCAAGUCGAACGAGACCUUCGGGUCUAGUGGCGCACGGGGGCGUAACGCGUGGGAACCUGCCCUUAGGUUCGGAAUAACUCCCCGAAAGGGGUGCUAAUACCGGAUAAUGUCUUCGGACCAAAGAUUUAUAGCCUUUGGAUGGGCCCGCGUUGGAUUAGCUAGUUGGUAGGGUAAAAGCCUACCAAGGCGACGAUCCAUAGCUGGUCUGAGAGGUUGAUCAGCCACACUGGGACUGAGACACGGCCCAGACUCCUACGGGAGGCAGCAGUGGGUAAUAUUGGACAAUGGGCGGAAGCCUGAUCCAGCAAUGCCGCGUGAGUGAUGAAGGCCUUAGGGUUGUAAAGCUCUUUUACCCGGGAUGAUAAUGACAGUACCGGGAGAAUAAGCUCCGGCUAACUCCGUG